CCUACGGGUGGCAGCAGUGGGGAAUAUUGGGCAAUGGGCGAAAGCCUGACCCAGCAACGCCGCGUGAAGGAAGAAGGCUUUCGGGUUGUAAACUUCUUUUGACAGGGAAGAGCAGCAGACGGUACCUGUCGAAUAAGCCACGGCUAACUACGUGCCAGCAGCCGCGGUAAUACGUAGGUGGCAGGCGUUGUCCGGAUUGACGGGUCGUAAAGGGCGUGUAGCCGGGCUGACAAGUCAGAUGUGAAAGCCGGGGGCUCAACCACCGACCUGCAUUUGAAACUGUUGGUCUAGAGUAGCGGAGAGGCAGGCGGAAUUCCUAGUGCAGCGGUGAAAUGCGUAGAUAUUAGGAGGCACACCAGUGGCGAAGGCGGCCUGCUGGACGACAACUGACGGUGAGGCGCGAAAGCGUGGGGAGCAAACAGGAUCAGAUACCCUAGUAGUC
rnacentral:rRNA from 1 species